rnacentral:misc_RNA from 1 species
UUUCCGUAGGUGAACCUGCGGAAGGAUCAUUAUUGAAUGAAACACUGCUGGCUUUAUGCUUUUGUGCUUGCCCUUUGGGCAUUGUGCACAUGCCUCUGGUCACUUUUUUCUGCUGUUCCUCCUGUGCACUUCCUGUUGACACGUUUUGUCUCUGAUAUUUAUUAACACACAACAAUGUUAGAUGUUUUUUUAGAUAUAAUACUAAAAUUUACAACUUUUAACAACGGAUCUCUUGGCUCUC